rnacentral:sRNA from 1 species
CACACAUACAAACACACACACAUGCACACUGACACACAUAGACAACACACACACACUCACCAAUCUAAAACCUAGCAACAGAUAAAUAAAGCCUGGGAUACACAGAGGCAGUGCUCAUGUGAACGUUAGUUCCUAACUUCGUCCAGACUCUAGGAUACAGUUUCACAGAAGGGAAUUUAAAUAGGUAGUAGACAGUGGUCCCUACUGACAGUCCAGGAAGGGUUUGUAUGGAAAUAGGCACAGUGAUCAUCACUUCUGUCCCUGGAUAGAAGGCAACUGUUGUUCCUCUCUGGACAUUAGCCCCACGUGGCUUUCACUGGGUCUCUAUCACUUAAGCACUUGCCUCCUGCUUCCCUUCUUAGGCACCGUGAUUAGUGGGGUUAAUCCUAGACCAACGUUAGGUUAGGACACACUCGCUUGCUUACACGUUCGUCUGCUUUGGGAGCCAAGGUCUUAAAGAUUCAUUUUGUCCAUUGUAUCCCCAGCACACGGUGGCGAACUCAGAUGUCAGCGAAGAUUUUAAAACCCACUGUUAAGGGAGUAAGAGGGUUUUAAAGAAAUGUGAAGCCCCUCUUCCCUUUUACCUAGAGACAAAGAUCCUUCCUUGGCUUGAGAGCUGGGGGUUUUCUUCCCCAAUCUUGAGUUUUCAAGCACUGGGCACCAGAAAUCAGGUUGCUGCCUAAAAAAAAUCCUCACUGCUAUUGAGGUCACGGUGACCCGGACAGGACUUGGAGUCCCUGCUCACCCAUUCAAUCACUCCUGCAGGGCCUGACACCCAGUAAAUGACCUGUACGUAUUUGAUUUUACAAAAAAGCACCCCCGCCCCCGAAACAAGAGCCAGGAUGUUCCUAGGCCAGGAAAUCCGUUCCUCUGCCUGCGUCCCAUCCUCCUCCAUGCGCCUCCAUUUGCUGAACUCACAGUGGAUUCGGAGGCCAGGAAAGCGACACCUGCCGGCGGAUGGCGGAAGUGCGGCUCACCGGAGCCGGCAUCCUGCAGGCCAGGCAGAAACGGGCCCUGGGCCAGGGCGUCUGCACGUGGUUUGCCUGAGCAAGCCGGUUCUUGAUUCGGUUGCUCUGAGCGCAGCACGGUCUCCUUCUUUGAAAGAUCGUCCAAAACUUCUCCAUCAGGCAUGUGUAGAGGAGCCUACAUGUCUUCAGGUUUUGGCCCUGGGUGACAUCUUCAGUCAGCCUGCUCCCCUCUCCCCUCUGGUGUGCCCAGUCUCUAGAUACCUCCUGCUCGGUGAAUUCCAUUAAUUUUAACUCUGCCAAAUGAAUGGAGUCCCCUUUCCUGGUGCAUUAGAACCCUCCCCGUGCUUCCUGUUCUGACUUCUAGUAGCAGAAGUGGGUGGGAGCAGAAGGGCCAUGAAAUUCAAGGCCAGUCUGGGUUGGUUAUCUUGCCUCAAAAACAAAGAGCGAAACCAAAAAAGAACACACGCUUGUUUUUCCGCCAUCACUGGUAAUUUUUUCAAAGCCAGAUCGUCCUCUGGUAAGCUUUUGUCAGCCCCUUGCUUCCUGCAGGAGCUAGUGUGUGGUAGCCGUGCCAUUCACAGAGGCUACUACAAUUCAGCAAAAACACACCACGUCUAAUUUAUUACUUGUGCGGGCUAUGCGGGUCUAGCCUCAGCUUAUAAUCACCCUCUUUCAUUGUCACCAAGAGCUGGAAGGGAAGCUUUCUGGAGAAAGGCUGGAAGACCCGAGCCGUCUAUCUAGAGCUGCUGGUUUGGGACUUGUCCCUUUAAGGAAGGGAGAGACUUGAGUUCUUGCAAGGCUGUCAAGCUCUUCUAAGGUGUCACCUGCUGUCUAGGUGGACGGGUAGAGAAGCCAGGCUGCUUCUCUGCAGAUCAGAAGGCUACAACUCUGAAAUCUGGCAGCUCUGUGCCAAUGACUGUCUGUGUGGCUGAACUCAGGCCUCACACGAGAGAUGUCUGCUCUCACAUUGUUCAAGGUAAGAUACAGUUCAUGUGCUUCAGACUACUAGACCUUUCCUCUGUGUGGGUCUCUCACCCUUGGACAGGCCUAGGUUCACCGAUAAAACACUUACCUAGAAUGUGUAGAGACUUGAUCUCCACCACUGGGGGAAAUAUAAAAAAAUUUAAAAAUGGCUGAAGUCAGGUGUCCUUUUCCACUUGGCCUUCCUUUGCUUUUCCUGUCUUCGGUCUCUUAUCUUCUGGGGAGAAGCUUGCCCUGAUAGUAUAUACUGAUUGACACACUCCUGCCACGCUCACACAGCAUCCCCACCCCUCCACCCCCACUUCUCACUUCCUCUGCACAGCUGGGAGGCCUCUCACCGCUUUGCUCCCUCACUCCACCUGCGAGUGGGGGGAAUCAAUAUUUUCGAGGGAUGAAUGACUAUGUCUCUUUUUUUUGGCAGAUGAGCCUACUUAAGAAAACAACUCAAGUCAAAAGAAAUCUUGACUUCCGAAGCUUAGCUGGAAACACCUCCAGUCCAUGUGUGAGGCAGCCUUUUCUUGUCUGCUUCAGUCUCAAUACUGACACCCCCGCCCCAAUUCAGUUUGAGGGAGAGAGUACUUAUUUCUUUCUGGGUUCUAAACUAAAUACUUGAAGCACUCAUUGGGAGCUCCAGAGGCAUGUCCGGCCUGGAGCUGUGGUAUCUCCCCACAGCACAUCUCCCACCCUAUGUCAGCACAAGGGCACCCUUGCCAGUCCUGACUGACUCUGAAGGAAUCCAUGUAGAGUGCCGUGACACUGGGUCGUUUGCAGUCAUCUGUCCAGAACCCUAGUACCUUGCAGCCCCUCUCUCCUUAAUGGCUUGGCUCCGCCCAAUCCCCGCCCCGUUUCCUACCACCAAUCAGCUUAAGUCCUUCACCCUUCCGUUGUUACUGUGUAUCUACAAGUCGAACUGACUGCCACUAGCUUAAUUGGUGUCUGUUGUGUACACCACUGGUCCCUUAGAUUCCAAGAGUUUGGGUGAGCAUUAUAGUUACUUUGGAAUAACUUUCAGGGGGAGCCUGUGAAAGGUAAUUAUAGGCAGCCUGGAAAUUCCCAGAAAGCCUUGGCUUUGAAAUAGUCGGGAUUUGCUUCUUUUUUUUUCGGAGCUGGGGACCGAACCCAGGGCCUUGCGGUUGCUAGGCAAGCACUCUACCACUGAGCCAAAUCCCCCGGGAUUUGCUUCUUAUCUACGUACAUGCCGUGCACUUUACGUUAGAAGCUCUCGGUUUGGGGAUGUGGACCACGGUCAUCGUAAUGAUAACAGAAGCAGCGUGUGAGCCGCUUGUCAUGUGCCAAACACAAGGGUUACAGGGACAUACUUUCAGGACAGUUGUGGUAGGCAGGGGUUGGAUGCAGCUCUGUUUAUGGCUUCCUCAUCUGUGAGCUCAGCCGAGAUCUGACCUGGUGUCCUGGUUUGCUUUCCGUGACUCUGAUAAACACCAGUGGGGGAGGCAACCUGGGAAGGAGAGGGCUGGUUUUGACUUAGAGCAACAGUUCUCCGUCUGUAUGUCACAACCCCUUUGGGGUUGAAAGGACCCUUUCACGGGGGUGGGGGGGGUGGUCAUGUAAGACAAUGGGAAAACGCACACACUGACGUUACAAUUCAUAGCAGCAGCAAAAUUACGGUUAUCGCAAAGCAAUAAAAUAAUUUUCUGGUUGGGAGGGGGGUGUCACCACAACACGAGCAACUGCAUUAAAGCAUCAUGCAGCAUUAGGAAGAUUAAGAACCACUGGCUUAGAGGUUAUUUAUAGUCCAUUACGUCAGGAAUCUGGAGGCAGGUCCAGACGCAGGGACCAUGGAUGAAUGCUGCUUCUGGCUCACUCAGCUUUGAGAACCAGGUCCACCCGCCUAACACUAGGCUGGACCCUCCUACAUUCAACAGGAAAAAAAAAAAUCCCACAGGGCAAUCCGACUGAGGUAAUUCCUCAGUUGAGGUUCCCUCAAUUAGUUGUGUCAAUAUGUGUGUCAAAUUGAUACCCCAGGAAGGUAGAAGCUGGAGAUGGAUCGGGCUGUGCUGGACAGGAGCAAUAGACAUCUCCUGUAUCUGACCGCUUCUUAGUUUACGAAGGAAUCCUGGAGACUGAUCACUGAUAGGAACAGUGCUCCAAGGCCAAACUUAUCCCUAUCACCCACCAAUCCAUUGUCCAGGGAAGCCUGUGGAAUGCUUGUGGCUUCCUGCCUACCCUUUCUCCUUAUGCCUCCUCAAAUCUUCCUCCCUCACAUUCCCGGCCCAGCUCUCAUGAUUACUCUUCUUCCGGAUUUUUCAGAACAUUCUAGAAAAUCUAUGAAGAGACGAGAAAAACAUGACCCCCCAGCAGAACAUGACCGGUUCUUCUCAAACGGAUGACCCCUCACCCAUGGCAGCAGCAGGUACAGGCCAUAGCUGCGGCUGACCUUGUACCUCCCCUCUUACACACUCCCAGUGUUUCUUGUCAGCAAAUCUGUCCAAUCGCCAAAAGGCCGAGGAGGGUGGGGGAUGGGCCCACGAAAGCUGUGGGUACCACAAAACCAAGGCUAAAGGACAAGAAGAUGGCAUCGUGGGUUUUUCAUCUCCAAGGACAUCUCAGGGGUCCUCUUCAAAGAACUCGCCAUUCCCAAACAGGCCAAAGGCUGUUUGAGAUGACCAGAGGUUAGCAAUAUUAUGCGGUAGAAUAUUAAUGAUAUGCCCCUUAGUGUGCUGAUGUAUUAUGCGGACAGUUGAGUGGCAUCGAGAACGUCCACACUGCUUGCUGACCACCUGGUCUCCAGAGCCUUCUCGUCUCUCCAGUGAAGCUUCUUACCCACCAAACACUGGCUUCUCUCCUUGCUUCCCCUCCCUAAGCCUCCAGUAACCGUGUUCUCCUCUAGGCCCCUCAUAUAGGGAGAUCUGAAGAGCAACCACAGGUAGUGAUAGCAUCCAGUUACUUAGCGCGGUGUCUAGACUUUCCCAUGCUGUGCCGGAAUCUUCUUCCUCGUCGACUUUGUGUUAGUUUUCUUUCUGUUGUUGUGCUAAAACAAACAAACAAAAAACCCAACCAACCAACCAAAUAAACAAACCCACAAACAAAAGCAA